rnacentral:lncRNA from 1 species
CCGGUGACCAAGGCGAUCCUGGUGGCCCUCUUCAUCUUCGCCAUCCUCCUCAUCCUCUACGUGAUCCUCUGGUACAUCUGCCGCGAUGUGGACUGUGACCACGGCAUCUGAGCGCCGCGGACCCCCGGGGUCGCCAGGCGGGGGGCGCCCCCAGCGCCAGGGCCAUGGGGACUGAGCCGUCCCGCGGUGCCCCCCCAGCUCGGCGCCCGCGCCCCCUACUCCGGGCCCCACCGCCCGCCCUGCACCUCCACCGCCUCCUGGCCUUGACCUUCAGGGACGCACCGGGGAGAGCGGGGCCCCUAAAGUGAUGGAGUGGCUGUGGAGUCUUCAGUUUGCCUGCAUGCCAGGUGCAAGCCAAGGAGUUGCAAGAGCAUCCCCCUCAUAAGCUACCAGUAGGCCAGGACUCCAGUGUGGAGGGAUGGAUCUCUGAAGGUCACAGCUUGGCCCUUCUCUGAAGAACGUCCACCAGCAUGUCAGCCCAGCUGCACUGCAGGAGUGAAGGGUGAGAUGACUGUCACUAAGGAUAAAGGCCAUCUUCCCCACCCGUCACUCAUUCUGCCAAGCCAUCACUGGGCAACCAGGACUCAUGGGCAGUGUCACCUCUGGGGCCAUGCUGGCAUCUGUAACCUCCAUCCAUCCUUGUGGUCCCAUCCAGCCAUCUCUGCCCCCUUGCCUGGCCCAUUCUGUUGUGAAGUUUUCGUCCGCCUUGCUCUUGUGCAGAGUCGGAAUUCACAGGGGUUCCAAUGCCCAAGGGAAGCCCGUUGGAACUGUUUACUCUUAUUACUGGCUAGAGACGUCCACAGGACAAAUCAGCUUCAGAUUAUACCGUCGUUAGAGUAGGUGCAACUGGGGGGCUUGCCCUACUUAACUCUCCAAUGCAAUCCAUGCUGCCAGCUUCAUACAGACUCCAUCCAGUGCAAAUGGCUUCCUUCUGUGUGCAGAGCAAAUGCUCCAGGGAAGAGAUACAGAGGAUUCCCCAUCAUCAUUGUUGCCAGGUGACCCCAAAUAUUCCUAUCCUGUCUGUUGUAAAAAGGAAAAAUCAUGUCUUGGAAGAACAGCAUCGCCCUACAGAUACAGACUAGGCACUUUGCACAUGAAACAAGAGUCCCAGAAAUUUCUAGAAGCAAAUCUCGCAUUCGUGACCGCCAGACCUACGGGAUGUGUAAGGCACAUUCUCAAUCUCAUCACUUGUGAGAGUUGCAUUGCCUAGUCCAGCAGCCGUGAAGGACUCUCUGCUGUUUUUCCUCUGCUUCAUUUGACACAUGAGAGUGAAGAGAUGAAGAUGGAGGCGGGCCCUGCCCCAGGGACAUGUAUAUCUCUCUGAAUGUCCUUGACAGACAGCAGCAGCCCAGCAACGCCCAGCCCCCAUCCUGUCUGUAUGCACCCGGUGAGCAUUUUCUACAGUCUCCUAAACGCUCCCAUUAUUCUGUUUUGCAGGUGUGAUGUGUGGCACCUCAGUGUUGUCAUAGCUUCUGCCUCCUCCGUGUGGAGAGAGGGCAUAAAGACAGAGCUGAGAUAUUAUGGCUAUUCCAGAAAAUAAAAUAUUUUUUGAAACCAC